GAGAACAGUAUGGAAAUUCCUUGAAAAACUAAAACCAGAACUACCGUGUGACCCAGCAAUUCCACUACUGGGCACAUAACCUGGUAAAACCAUAACUCAAAAGACUCAUGCACCCCAGUGUUCACUGCAGCACUUUUUAUGAUAGCCAAGACGUCGAAGCAACCUAGAUGUUCAUUGACAGAGGAAUGGAUAAA